UCAUGAUUGACAGUUGUGAUUGACAGCAAAGUAGUCACUGAGGCACCAACUGACUUUUUUUCAGGAGGAGAUUGGAGCUUUAACUUCUACAUUUCCAUAACUGUUUAUUUCGCACCGACAUAACGAGUUGUUCUGCAGUAAACCAUAGGAUUCUGCGGGAAUGUGGGCGGGGCCUUGAUAGCGCGCGGCUUCACUUCAUGCUCACUACUGCGCAGAAUCAGGUCCUAAAUCAGCACAAGAUGUCAGCGCCAUAUUAGGACAUUGGCGGCUUCACUUUUCUACAGUGGAAGAGAGUGGAGAGAAAGCAUGAUGAAAAAGCCGAUCCAGGACAACAGACUGAUGAGGUUCCUCCCACAGGUUCCCAUCAGCUCCCUGGAAACGCUUUUAUCAGACAGUGCACCGGCGGUCUGACAGCGACAGACAGCACUUCGGCAGUCAGCCUGGGAGGCUGAUGAAAAGGUGGUGAUAUAUCAGUCUGUCUGCGAUAAUGUGGUUCAUCCAUUGAGGCCAGAUACACCAGUCUGAGACAGAAGAUGUAAUCAGAUACCUUCCAUGUGCACUGAUGGACUGAAUAAGCAGAAUGGAUCAGCUCCAAAUGGAAAGCACAGGGAUGGAAUAAACCUGUCAGCCCUGCACCCAUCAGAUCUGGAGCCAGGACAUUAUGAUAAGGCUUGGACAUAAACACAUACAGACAGAAUGGCAAGGCCUACAAAAUGUGUCCUUCGGUGAUGAACCCAAGAGAUAAUAACAGAACAUUUCCUGCAUAUUUAUCUAUACCUCUCUGUGCAUGUAGAUGUAGCAUUGUCCAAACUCCAUAUUAAAUACAUUUAGACUUUUCUGUCAUAAAAAUUUCAAGAAACGCUAUAUAUA